ACCAAUACUGAUAGUACAGUCCCUGGGGACCUUUUGUGUGCAAAAAAGGUCCAUGGAUAAAUGUUAUACCAAUGUAAAGCUAAAUGUUUGAAGUUUACAAAAAUUUUGGGUAGACAUGUCAAAUCAUGGUACGUUUUGAGAAAUCCAAGAUGGCCGCCAAGAUGGCCGCCAAAUUAUUGAAAAAUGGGUAAUAAGCAAUUUAUAUGAUAAAAUUAGUUCUUUUUUGUAUUUAUUUUGGUACCGGUGAUGUUAAAACUUCACAUCCUAUUGGAACAAUAUGAAAAAGGGUCCUUUUCCUUUUUCUUAUACAUAUUCUUUUGUUUUCAUAGAGAAAUUUUGCUAAAAAAGCAUGAAAAAGUAUCAAAAAUCGACAUGGGGCUGGCAUUUUUUCCUAUCAGUCGAAGCAUAGUGAUGAAAACUAAUAUUUUUACCAUAUUAUACAAAGACCUGAUCAACAACUUACUAAUUGUACCCUUAUUUUUAUUUUUAUUGUGUAAGAAUGUGAAUUCUGAAAUUCCUAAAGUGGGUGGGGUACACGAAAAUUGAGUCCCAAUUUCUAGUGAACUGAUAUAUAACGAUUAUUAAGACUAAAAAUAACCAACAAUAUUACAUUUUAAAAUGUUCUUAAGUCUAUAAUUUUUUAAAAGGUAGAUUUUCAUUCUACCAACAACAUUUAUUGGUUCAGUUGCCAUGGCAACAAAGUGGUAAAAUGAUAGAAACCCGGAAACAUAUGAGGCUUUCAGUUUUAUCAUUUCAGGCCAUAUUCCAGCCUCAAAAUUCUUUAUAAAUUAUUUUGUGACCUACAGGUCAGACCACCUAAUGCUUUGUUAUACGGUCAGUAUGUCUUAAAUGAUCAUCAACAAACUCCGGACUAUUCAUCAAAUGGCAUCUUGUCUUAUUACCAAAAACAACCACUCCAUUUAAACACAUUAAAAUAGAGAAAAACAGAAUCCCUAAAACGUUGUUUAGAAAAUGAUCAUCAACAAACUCCGGACUGUUCAUCAAAUGGCAUCUUGUCUUAUUACCAAAAACAACCCCUCCAUUUAAACACAUUAAAAUAGAGAAAAACAGAAUCCCUAAAACGUUGUAUAGAAUCUCCAUUGUUUUACCUAUUGAAAAUCGGAUACAGUAGGGACAAACUCCAGUAUACAUUAAGAACAAGCUACAGAAGAAUGUACACAAAACUUAAACUUAAAAGUCUCAAAUUAAUUAUACAAUAUAAGUAAUUCCGAUAUGUAAACAAUAUGAGUUUUGUUACUGCAGUCUCACUUCGUUCUUUAGAAAUAUGUGACUAUUUAAGAAGAUGGCGGUCUGUUUCAUAAUAUUAUUAUAAAUCACGUUGAAAAGAAUUUAAAAGUAUGUUUAUAUGCAAAUAGUUUUACAUAGUCAUAUCUAGAUUUGUAUAAUUGUUGAAAUUUCAUUUAAUGUCGAGUAUUCUUUUUUAAUAUUUAUAACUGUGAUAUAAAUUUGUUGAUUUUAACGCAUUUAAACAUGUUAUAUAUAUCAGAAAGGCACUUAACAAAAUUGGUGUAAUGAUAGAUUUUGAUUUUGUUUUAAACCGUUUUUUACCAGUUAUAAGAAAAAAUACGUGUUUGUAAAACUUUGGGAGCGAUUUUGUUCCACUCACACAAAAAAGUAUGUAAAUUGUCGUCACGUAGUAAUAAGCUAUAAUGAUAUAAAGGUAAGCAUUUAAAUAAAAUCUCAAAGACAUUCAUAUGAUUGGUAAUCAUAUCAACUGUUACAGUUUUGUUAUUUUCUCAUCAUCAAUAAAUAUCAAUAAAUCAUGUGGAAUAAACCGCGGCUGAACGUAUCCAAAAUUCAUAUAACCUUUCUGUUUUAAAUAAGUCGUUAUAAAAGUGCAGUCUUAAAACCAUAGUUUCAAUGUAAUUGGAGAUGAGGAAAAACAGCAUUUCUCAAAUUGUCCGGUAGCAUGUAAUGCACAUGAACACUAGUGUGUUCCAAAUUAAGAUCAAGUUCAGGAGGUUUUUGAAUUUGGAAUCAGGAUGAACAUAAUUAUGACUUUGAUUUCUUUAUUUUACAAACAAUUUUAAUGUUUUCUUUAUUUGAAUAAGCCAAAUUUCACUUUCUUAUAGACUUUGUAAUUCUGAUUUGCCUUAAAAGAUGACCAGAAGGUGUCAAUAUUAUGAAAUAAUGCACGGAGGGAAACAUAUUAAAGUCUUCCUCAGUAAAGCAGGAAAAUCGCCACAAAGCCUUUUAAAGUGUUGAUGUGACGUAAAAAUAGGCUAUUAUAUUUGAUAAAAUUUGACAGAAA